GAUGAACGCUAGCGGCAGGCCUAAUACAUGCAAGACGAACGGUAAGUUGAGUAGCAAUACUUGACCUAGAGUGUCGUACGGGUGCGUAACACGUAUGCAACCUACCCAUAACAGGAGGAUAGCUCCCCGAAAGGGGAAUUAACCCUCCAUAGUAAUAUUGAAUGGCAUCAUUUGGUAUUUAAAACCCCGGUGGUUAUGGAUGGGCAUGCGUCUGAUUAGUUAGUUGGCGGGGUAACGGCCCACCAAGGCGAUGAUCAGUAGGGGAACUGAGAGGUUGAUCCCCCACACUGGCACUGAGAUACGGGCCAGACUCCUACGGGAGGCAGCAGUAGGGAAUAUUGGUCAAUGGAUGGAAGUCUGAACCAGCCAUGCCGCGUGCAGGAAGAAGGCCUUAUGGGUUGUAAACUGCUUUUGCCAGGGGAUAAAAUAGCUGUGCGCAGCGAAUUGCAGGUACCUGGUGAAUAAGCCACGGCUAACUACGUGCCAGCAGCCGCCGUAAAAC
rnacentral:rRNA from 1 species